UCAAGAAGCGUUUGGACAAUUCUCUCGGGCACAUGGUGUGAUUCUUGGGGUGUCCUGUGCAGGGCCAAGAGUUGGACUCGAUGAUCCCUGUGGGCUCAUUCCGGCCUGGGAUAUCCUGUGGUUCUGUGGGACAGGUGUGAGGGAGGCCGAGGGAAGGGCGUGUCGCAGCGCCCCUGGGCCAGGGCCCGCCGGGGGACCGGGCGUGUCCCUCAGCCUGGCGGGAUGAGGAGGCCCGGGAGCGAUGAGGAAUUCAGCGGGGCUCGGGGAGCUGGGGAUUCCUAAGCCCCCUGUGUGAGGGAUGCGGGACGGAGCCCGCGGGGGUGCUGGGCCCCGCUGAUAGUGGCUAGUGGGUUGCCAGGGAUUGUCUCUUGUCUCUCAGUUGUGUCUUCUUACCAGGAGCAGUCCUGCCUGCCUCUCCCACAGCUCCAAGUCCACAAGGCACCGACUUUCUGGAGGUUUGUAAACCCCACAAAGCACCUGUGUAAAUCAAGCCAUUUAUUUCUAAACCUUUGCUAAGGCCAGCCGGCCUCCCUUACCCACUUGAAGCUGAAAUGGGAUCAACAAGACUUCGCAGCACAUCCUUGCACUUAUGUCCGAUGGGCUUCUUCUUUCUCCCAGGUGGGAAAAAUGCAGGGACAAUGACUGAAGAGCUGCGUGGAAGAGAAGGUGAUGAUAGAGAUCGUCCCAUCAUCCCCUGGCCACUCUCCAAAGAGACAAAACAGAAGAGAGGCAAUGGGUUGAGCACAAAAAUGGCCUGGAAGGAGGAUGCUCCAAACUAUCUGAGACCUGCAAUAAAAUAUGCAGGAAGUUAUUGCUGCUUCAAGUAGCAUUAAGUCCUACCUGGUGCCCAGCAUGAGUCACAGAGCACACACAGGCUCCACUGGUGGCAGCAGCACAGCCUCUGCAGCUGUAGAGGGGUGGAAGCACGAGGCAGUGAGGGGAAGGCUAUCAUUUUGGAAAGGGAUGUGCUGGAUGGGAGGAGUGCAGCCAGACAAGCACAGGAGCCUUGGUCCCUCCAGCCAGGCACAAGGCUGGCUUCCUGGCUCCAGCGCUCCCUCUGGACCCCCCUUGGAUGGUCUGUCAUUAACUUAGUGACUGACUUGAACUUCAGCACUUUAAGUGUGGAUAUUUCACCACCUUAAGGGUAACUGGAUCCUAUCCACUACUUAGCAGUGAUUUCAGACACUGACUUGAAUGAAACCUUUUCCCACAAUGUUCAAAUUCAGUUCUCAACAGCAAAAGGGUGAGAGGUUCAGUAAUAAAACAGGAACAGGUGACCACUGAGAUGUGAAUAAAAUAGAGCAAAAUCAUGGUCUUUAUUGCCUUUCAUUACACCAGGACAUCUACUGUAGUGUGGAAAACUAAAUGAAAGACCUGGCAAAUAUGAAAGAGUAAAAUACCUCUAGCUGCACGUAAUAAGGCUGCAAUAGCAUUAGGAAGUCCUGGAGUCAUUACAAACUACAGAUACAAGGCUCCACGGGUUGUUUACUUUCAUGAGGGACACAGGACAAAAUUAUAUGUGCUCUGAAUAUGUGUAGCUUUUGUAAAUAUAUUAUUAGUUACAGUCAAGAUUCUGAUUUUGCCAUAAGAAUCAUUAGAAAGUACAGUCUUAGCGAAAAGUUAAGGAACUCAUAAUUUGCCCAAAUACUUUAAACCUGCAAACAAAUUAGCUUUUUCUUUUAAUUUGAAUAGCAACUCAUACCCCUUGUGAAUACUCUUAUCAUGUAUAUGCAAAACAAAAAAAAGGUUUUAGAUGCACUUAACAGGCCAGAAUUGGUCUCAAGGUCAGUUGUACUGACAUUUUUCCCUAAAUGUAAUUAAGUUUGUGUCUUCACGUUUUCUGAGUAACUGAAGAUUUUUAUUGUUUUGAUGCCAUUAUGAGGAACUGCCAUGAAUGCCCAUGUAGGAACUUCAGAUGGAAACAAUAAAUAAAAGCAGCAUUUGUCACUGAUCAGCCUGGACCUCUGGGAGGAGUAUAAUAAAAUCAUAGUACAACUUUAUAGUUACAGAGCAUUCUUGCACAUCUCGAAGGCCUCUAAAAUGGUAUCAGCAAAUUUACUCCAGAGUAGGAAGAACUAUCUCUUUAACACCUAAGUUGCCAAUGGUCUGAAGAAGCUUGUAAGGGUGGUUGCUCUGUCCUCGGGCAUGCUCUGAUGGCCUAAAAAAACCAGAAGUGUGUUGUAAACCGGUCCCACUUUGUUAAAAGAUCUCUGCACUGGUUCUCAUUGCUAAAAAUAGGUAGUUUUGGUUGUUUCCUUCGGCUUUGAUAUCUCAUCUUUCUUUUGACACCCCCAGUCUCUUCAUCCACAGAGCCAACCUCUUCCCACAUCUGAAAAGUUUCAGAAAGGAAACGAGCAAGCCACUGUAGCACUGAGUUAGAACCACAAUGAAACCUGGGGCAAUGGCAACUGCAUGAAUUUCACCCCUUGAUUUCAUUUGCUGCAGCAUUUUUUGACUGUUGUGGCUUUCAGUAGUGGUUUCAAACUUUCUUUUUAAAAAAGUCUCAUUUUCUUUCCUUUUUUUUUUUUUUCUUUUUGUAGCUUGAGUUUAGAUUAAGUAUCUUGGCAAAGGAGGUAAGGCUUAAAUCAUUUUCAUGCAUCAGCAUUGACAAUAUCUUCUUUGCUAUUCAUUUUUUUGGGAAACAUUAAUAUUCUUAGAAAAGACUAUGUAUCAGAGAGUAAUAACAAUGAAAAC